AUGCGUCUCAGGUUUCUGUACAGGAUUUAUGCGAUGUGUUGUUUUGUGGCAGUCACAUCCUCUCUGACCAAGGCUGAGAAGAAAAAGGCGACGGGCAGAAGAUCUCGGCAGGUGGACAAUAGUCCGGAGGGGGUGUGGUCUGCCUGGGAGGAGUGGUCAGGAUGUUCUCAGAGUUGUGGAGUGGGCGUGUCACAGAGAACCAGAAAGUGUGAAGCCCCUCCCCGUCCCCUAACUCCACCCCUCUCCCACUCUCCUCCAAUCUGGGAGGGUUCAUCGUUCCUCCCAGGGAGGGCAGGGGGUCCCAACCAUGGCUCUGUCAUCUCCGCCAUCCACCCCUUCUACCGCCCUCGUUACUCUAGCAACCAGCCAUCCCAAUACGGGGGAGGAGGUGGGGGAGGGACAGAGAGACAGCCAGACCCCUUCUAUCCCCCCUCACUCCCAUCAUCCAUUCAGAACCCAGGACUGUCUCUCUAUCGGGACACUCCUAUAGGAGGAGGGGCAGGAGCUGUGCCAGCGCAGUCCUCCAAUCCCACGUCUCCCCUCUAUCGCCCGGAAUUCUCAUUACCCAAUCAGGAGCCAGGUUCUGUUUAUCGCUCCCCCUCAUUUCCUGCCCCCCCAUCCAGCUACAGCCAACCAGCACAGGCCGCCCGCCGGCCAACCAAUCCUGGAACAGGGAGGGCGGGAGGAAGUGGCAGCAGAAGGUCAGUGUUGCCCAAUAGGGGGGCUCUGCCUGCUAGUAGGUCCUCUUCUAUCCGUCCGGGUCAGUUUGGUUACGGCAGGGUUCCCUUCUCUCUGCCAUUACACCGGCAAAACCGGCAGGCCCGCCACACUGAGCACGGCAAUGCUACCAUAGCAACCCUGGUACUAGAGACCGAGGGGCAGGAGGGAACUGUUGUUAACAUUGACCAAAUGGACAGACCCGGAGAAGGAGAAGAGAAGAGGAGGGGAGAGAAGGAGAGGGAGGGAGGCAAGAACCACAAACUGAAUAGGGGAGAGAGGGAGCAUGAGAGGAGAGAGGAGGAGAGGAAGACAGAGGGGGAGAGUACGGAGUCACCUGUCGCUAAGGCAUUAAUAAUGACAACCAUAGCUAAACCAGAAAGGAAUGGUCAGAGGGACACGGACACUCACAGACAGAUGGACAGACAGAGACAAGCUGCUGCGGAGCGAGGGAGGGAGAGAGGGAGAGAAAGAGAGAGAGUACCCUCGACACUCCCUCACUCACACAGGCCAUCUCCCUUCCAGCCCAACCACGACAGAAUCAUUGAUAGACGUGCCCCUCCUCCCCUCCCCCCUCUGCCUCACCCCCACUCCCCCUCUCUCUCUCACCCCUACUCCCCCCCUCUCCACCACUCCUCUUCCCAGCACAGAGAGAGAGAGUCCCCCUAUGGGUUCAACCCUCAGCUCCAAUCCCCUCACCCUGGACCCCCCCAACCCAACAUCUACCCCCUGCAACAUCAGCAGCACCCCCAUCCCCUGGCCGAGGGGGAGACAGGGGGACAGAGAUUACCCCCCCAGAACUACAGGUGUUCGGGAGCAGAGAAUGAGUAUCGUCGGUGCUUCUCACAGGUAUGUGUAGGAGGUGCAGACUCCAGAGCAGAGCAGUGUGCUUCCUACAACAACCAGGAGUUUAUGGGCAGACUGUACGACUGGGAACCUUUCACUGAGGGUAAGUUACACACACACACACACACAUUCACACACACAGACGUACAGACACACACACACAUGCACAGACACUAUAUGAUUGUUUAA
ensembl:lncRNA